UGUAGGAGCCAGCUUGCUGGCGAAGGUGUGUCAGUUGACGCUGUGGUGCCUGAUACACCAUCGCCAGCAGGCUGGCUCCUACA
rnacentral:misc_RNA from 1 species